rnacentral:lncRNA from 1 species
CAAGACUUAAAGCAUUUUUUUUGUGUUUGUUGCAGAAUCUGAAUGCCAUUGUUUCAGACCCUGCAACAUCUGACUCAUCCACCAACAUUCCCAGUGAUCGGCAAGAGGAGGCCGACUUCAUUAUUAAUGUUGAUGACACCGCUUCAGAGCAGUCUUCUGAUUUGGACAUUACAGACAUAGAAGACACGAGCCCGAGGAGAGUCAAAGAUUCCAAUGCAGUCUCAGAGUCAGACACAGUAGAGUGGUGUUCGGAUUAUGAGGCUGCUUCAGAGGAUGAGGUGACAGUCCAAAUAAGAUGUUCAAAUGUUUUACAGUCGAGAGAACAACAGCCGAAUGCUCCUGCCCAUGCAUCACCUGAUUCCUCUGUCCAAUCAAUAGCUGCCAUCUCAGGGCCCACAGAGGGUUUUCGUCGAGCUUCAAUUCAGGUUCUGUGAUAUUAUUUUGAAGUUUAGUAUUUCUAUUUUGAAGUAAUGCUAUUGAAUGUUGGGGAAAAUGUCAUGUCUCAAAUAGUUUGGACCUUAACCAUGCUGUAGUUCUUCAUACAGUGACCCUUUUAUUGUGUUCUGUGUUCGCCUUCCAGUUGAGAGAACUACUGCCGACUGCUCCUGCCCACGUAUCACCUGAUUCCGUCCAGGCAUCAACUGCCAGCUAUGGGGCCACAGAGGGUUUUCGUCGAGCUUCAAUUCGCAGAAUUAAUGUGGUCG